rnacentral:rRNA from 1 species
CAGUCGCCGCGGUAAUACGAAGGGUGCAAGCGUUAAUCGAAAUUACUGGGCGUAAAGGGUGCGUAGGUGGUUGUUUAAGUCUGUUGUGAAAUCCCCGGGCUCAACCUGGGAAUGGCAACGGAAACUGGACGGCUAGAGUGUGUCAGAGGAUGGUGGAAUUCCCGGUGUAGCGGUGAAAUGCGUAGAGAUCGGGAGGAACAUCAGUGGCGAAGGCGGCCAUCUGGGACAACACUGACGCUGAAGCACGAAAGCGUGGGGAGCAAACAGGAUUAGAUACCCCGGUAGUCCCUGUCUCUUAUAC